rnacentral:lncRNA from 1 species
GUGGGGGAGGCGCGCUGUGUCCCUCCUGUGCAGAGGAGGAUGAGGUUCAGUAUGGAGUGUGCCUGGUCAGGGAGGGUUUCCUGGAAGUGACGUCAGCGAUACGUAUGAGCAAGACUGAAGGCUGGCUCAGGACAAGCAGAGUUGUUGGGUGGAAGUUACGCUCCGUGGCAGAGUGAUAUUCCCAGGUGGGCACGUGGCUCACCUUCCUCCAAGCCCAUCCAUCAGCUCUCCCAGGGCCCCCAAGAGGCGUCUAGGCUUUAUGGACUAUCUGCUUGGACUCAGCUGCGCCCCCUACUGGACGAUCCACUCCCCAGUGGCAAAGACCUCUGGUACAUUACCCGAUUGCUUGGGUCUCCAGCCCCGGGCAGGAGUUUAAAUGGAGAUGUCCUUCACAGUACACAGGAAAAGACACGGCCCAAGAGUACAGCAAAGGCAAGACAGCCCUAAGGGAUAUUAUUGGUGAGAACCGAAGCCCCCUGUGCCCGUGUGCCAAUGCAUCGCCAUUUCUCUCUGCAUCUUUCUGUAGAAAAGCGUAAUUCAGCGUCUUCCUGUCUUUCCAUCUGCCUCCAGUGAAACCAAACUUCAUUCCACUCAGAAGAGCAUCUUUCUUGGGUACUCAAGGAUGAUAUCAACCAGAUGACAUUGAAUGUGGAGAAUCAUAGUUUAUCUUUUCAUUUCCCACUUUAAGUUGACUUGGCAUAAACAUACUGUAGAAAUUCAAUAAAUCCUGAUUACACA